GCCCGGGUGGCGGAAUUGGUAGACGCGCAGGUCUCAGAAGCCUGUCCGCAUUAGCGGGUGCUGGUUCGAUUCCAGUCCCGGGCACCA
rnacentral:tRNA from 2 species